GGCAGUUUGGUUGUGCUAAGCUAGUGCCCCGGUCAGGAGUAGGUUAUUCAAGGGUUUGAAGUCUCAAAAAUUAGGCUUUGAAGCAGUUUUUAGUUUGGAGCGAUGCAGAGUUGCAUCCGCUCCGGUUCGUGGUCAGGCUCCGCCUCCAUGGAAAGCAUUUUUAGUACUUAGUAGAGCACCCUUUUGCUAUUAUGACCUGAUGCAAAUGAGAGGCAUAGCCAGACACCAGCUGAUGGCAGCGUUCCUGAGGAAUCUUAGCCCAUUGCUCGUGAGCAAUGGCCUCCAGUUCAGUAAUAUUCUUG